rnacentral:rRNA from 1 species
AUUGAACGCUGGCGGCAGGCUUAACACAUGCAAGUCGAACGAGUGGCGGACGGGUGAGUAAUGCUUGGGAAUCUAGCUUAUGGAGGGGGAUAACUACGGGAAACUGUAGCUAAUACCGCGUACCAUCGGAUGAGCCCAAGUGGGAUUAGGUAGUUGGUGGGGUAAAGGCUCACCAAGACGACGAUCCCUAGCUGGUCUGAGAGGAUGACCCGCAACACUGGGACGGCGAGACGGCGCAUACUCCGAGGGGAAGCAGCGGGGGGGAUUGUUGCGUAAGGGGGGCAACCCUGACGCAACCAUGCGGCGUGGAAGAAGGAGGCCCGAGGGUUGUAAAGUUCUUGCAGGGAGGCGUUACCGACAGAAGAAGCACCGGCUAACUCCGUGCCAGCAGCCGCGGUAAUAC